CUCCUGCCACCAACUUGUCUGUAAUCAACUGGCAUUGCGACAACAUUACUGUGGCAUGGCAAGCUCCGAUUAAUAAUAUCUCAACUAACUAUAACUUGAGUGGCAACAAUUUAGAAGUAAUUCUUCCAGCCUCCACAAACAGCUAUACGUUCCAAAACUUGACAUCUGGAACUAAUUACACAAUUAUUGUCUACAGUAUCGUAUUUGAUCCGUACAACCAAAGCUACAUCACAGGAAACGCAGUAUCCAUUAACGCACAUACAAGGCCAAAUCUUCCUCACAGUCUUAAGGUCACAAUAUUGAACACCACCUACGCCAUUUUAGAAUGGAUGAAACCAGACAAUGCAGAAAAUGCUUUAAAUGAAUUUGUAGUAAACUAUACAAAUGUAUACUGGAAUGUCUCUAAAACUUUUACAACAAAUAACACUUCAGCUCCAUUAAGUUCUCUUUAUUCAGGAGCAAUUUAUACAGUUUAUGUGAGGACUAAAGCACAAGAUGAAUACAGUGAUCCAAUCAGCAUUAACUUCACAACUGAAAUGAAUGAAAAAGUUGUCAUAUUUGCUCUUCGUUGUACUUCCAAUACACUAAACGGAUGUGAUGGAGGGGAUGCCAUAAAUGCAGCUAACUCUUCGCUGCAGUCUUACUUUGAUUCCCGAUUUAAAGGAUUGAAUUUUACCUUGAGUUCUUUCAAUGGAUAAAUUAAGAUACAGCAUCUUAAGGAGUAAACAGAAGAAACUACAAGCUUUACUGUGAACUUUACCAAUAAUGUCGGUCAUUAUGGGUGCAGCGUCAGAUGCUUUGUCAUUCUAAAGGAUGUCUCAGUCGCAGCUCUGUUUGUAUCUUUAAUGGAAACCUUUUUAAUUUUCUGCUUCUAUUUCAGGACUUCGUUUGCAGAUUUAGAAUGCUGACACAGAAUAACAUGUCAGUUUUUUUAAAAUGUAUCAUAACUGUGUGUAUAUUUCAAGUUUUUUUUUUGGAAGUGAAAUGUAAAAGUGUGCUGGGACAAGUUUAAGAAAUGUGCUAACAGAAUUACUUUUUGUUAUGCUGACAUUUAUGCUCUGCCUCAAUGCUGUUCUUGCCUGCUUUUUCUGAACCUGACAAACCCAAGUUGUGCAACUUCAUGCGCCAAGAACCCUUCCCGGCUUAGACACCAGCAGCAGCGGUCACAACCUCCGGCUCUCACCACAGCUGUCUCCAUUGGCGUCUGCCAUGACACUCUGAGUCGUUUUCCACUUUCAUAAAUUCAGCUGGGACAAUCCACCCCUGGAGCACCAAUCACUUGAUCCUCCAUGGGGCUCCCGACAGCUCUGCCUUUUCUCCCUCACGCUGGCGCGGGCACCUGAUUCCUCAUUCUCACUCACGGUUCUUUUUUUUUCCUCUUGUUCUGAUCCUUUGUUCCUCCCAUUUCUGCUGUGCAGGCUGCUUUUAUACGGCUGAUUGGGUGCAAGUGUGAUACGCUGCCACCUCUGAGGCACCUGACUGAUCUACUUACAUUCACAUGUGAGUGUGCGAUCGGCCAAGCACCCCAGUCACCCCUGGAGUGAUGCGUGCUGAACAAUACAACGAAAUUUAAAACAGCUCGUCCAA